UCGGCUCACUGCAACCUCUGCCUAGUGGGUUCAAGUGAUUCUUCUGCCUCAGCCUCCCAAGUAGCUGGGAUUGCAGGCACGCACCACUACACACGGCUAAUUUUUGUAUUUUUAGUAGAAAUGAGGUUUUGCCAUAUUGGCCAAGCUGGUCUCAAACUCCUGAUCUCAAGAGAAAUGAUCCAUCUGCCAUGGACUCCCAAAGUGCUGAGAUUACAGGUGUGAGCCACUGUGCCCAGCCAAGAGACAGUGUCAAUUCUAACAAUUUAUGUGCAUUUCUGGUAAUCCACCCCUCACAGGUUGCUUUGAACAACUUGUUGUUUCCCCUAGUGAUGAGCUGAAAGUUGUAACAAUAACCAGUCUCCCAUAUGUUAUUGCUGAAUAAUUCCUUCUUAGUGGCUUCAUAAUAAUAAUAUACAAAAAAGAAUCUAUUGUUCUGUUUGGCUCUUUUCAGAUUCCUAGUAUCUCAUUACGUCAGGAGAGUCUUUGUUUCCUCAAGUGUAUUUAAGCACAUCAUGGAUGCUAUCAAGUUCAUCUUAAUUUCAUUCUCUUAGAGCCUGCUGCCCGCUACAAUCUGGAUGGAUAAUUCCUGUGGCCUGCUGCACAGCUGUCAUCCACCCUUUACAAUCCCCCUUCACCAUCAUCCUUGGAACUUCCUCCUUUUCA
rnacentral:lncRNA from 10 species